rnacentral:rRNA from 1 species
UAUGGUUGCUGUGAGUAGAAUGUGUGGUGUAGCGGUGAAAUGCAUAGAUAUCACACAGAAUACCGAUUGCGAAGGCAUCUCACAAAGCCAUCAUUGACGCUGAGGCACGAAAGUGUGGGGAUCAAACAGGAUUAGAUACCCUGGUAGUCCACACUGUAAACGAUGAUAACUAGCUGUUGGCGAUACACAGUCAGUGGCCAAGCGAAAGCGAUAAGUUAUCCACCUGGGGAGUACGACCGCAAGGUUGAAACUCAAAGGAAUUGACGGGGGCCCGCACAAGCGGAGGAACAUGUGGUUUAAUUCGAUGAUACGCGAGGAACCUUACCCGGGCUCGAACGGUACAGGAAUAUGGCAGAGAUGUCAUAGCUAGCAAUAGUCUGUAUCGAGGUGCUGCAUGGUUGUCGUCAGCUCGUGCCGUGAGGUGUCGGCUUAAGUGCCAUAACGAGCGCAACCCUUGUCGUUAGUUACCAUCAAGUAAAGUUGGGGACUCUAGCGAGACUGCCACCGUAAGGUGUGAGGAAGGGGGGGAUGACGUCAAAUCAGCACGGCCCUUACGUCCGGGGCGACACACGUGUUACAAUGGUAGGUACAGAGGGCCGCUACCCAGCGAUGGGGGUGCCAAUCUCAAAAACCUAUCUCAGUUCGGAUCGGAGUCUGCAACUCGACUCCGUGAAGUUGGAUUCGCUAGUAAUCGCGCAUCAGCCAUGGCGCGGUGAAUACGUUCCCGGGCCUUGUACACACCGCCCGUCAAGCCAUGGAAGCCGGGGGUGCCUGAAGUUCGUACCGCAAGGAGCGACGUA